GUGCGGCCCGGACACCCCGACUUUGCUCGCCCGCGGCCUGCAAGGCGGCUACGUGGCGCCGGGACACGGUCCCAGCAGGGCAGAAGCGACGGGCCCCGAGGGAGAGGCCUGAGCACGGGGGGUCGAGGUCCCCCUCAGCUCGCGGUGCCCCCCCUUCAAUUCCCGGUUGUCCCUCAGCCCGCGCUGCCCCUCAUCCUACCCGUCCUUCCACACAGCCCGCGACCACUCACAAGGUUGAGGGGUCCUUCCAUCACUUCCAUAGACCCCGGGGUGAGCGGCGGCCCGAGGCGGAACGGCGGCGCCUGGGCACAUGGAGGGGCAGCGGGGGCAACAGACGCGGCGGCUGGCGGGAGGCAACUCACGGUACCCGGAGCCGGCAGUGAGAACCCAAGAGCGACUGCCGCGCCACUUCCGCCUCCGACGCCGCGCCGCGCCGCGCCGCGGGGCCGCCCCUGCGUCACCGCGCACCGCGUCCCAACGUCACGCGCCGGCGCGGGGGCGGGGCUCCGGCUAUUGACUUUUUCAAGAAUUAAAUUUGAUCCAAGUUUAUGGCGUGCUCCAGGUUCCCCCACGUUUUACCAUUUGAGAAAAGAGUCUGUAUGUGACCCAGACCUUGAACAUAAUCCCCUGACAGGUAGAUGGGGGCGGGGAAAGAUGGAGAGGAGCCGAGAGAGAGAAUAACCAAGACACACUUGGACGAAGGAAACAGGGCUUAUCUGGAGAUUUUACAGUACCAGAUGCUGCAAAGAGAAAAAGCAAAUAACUGCAUGAAUGCACUGUCUGGAAUAGCCAACAGACCUGCCUUCAAGUUCCUGGCUCAUCUCGCAGUGAUGGAUUGCAAGCCGGAAUUGUCAACCAAAUAAACCUUUCUCCCGGAUAUUGCUUUUUGUUACACUAUUUCAUCAACUGUGGCGUAGAAAAGUAUUUCAGACUCUCCCUAGAUGAUAAAACUGUGAAGCAGAAUUUGUUAAAAUAAAUAAUAGUAAAGAGCAUUGAAUCUGUGUAACUGCGUUGUUCACUCCUCAAUGGCCAGCUGCCCCGUGAACGUGGUGAAUAACUCUAGAACAAACCAGCAGCUGGACAAGGAGGGAGCAUAGUAUGAUGCUUGCAGGCACCUUUAUCUACAUCAGAGAGAAAAAAAAGUCUCCAAACCUUGAUCAUGAUCAUCAUGUCCACCAAUUCACCUGUCACAGGCUGUGAGGACAUGCUGUGAGUGGCUGGCCAGAACUGUAAAUCUUCAAAGACCUGAGAGCUGUCCAGACUCAUCUACAGAGAAUGCCCGUUCAUUCUCAGGCUACAAACUUGAAGGUUAUCAUAAUCCCUGGACCAUUCCAGCUGUGAACAUAGUGGAACAUGCCUAUUACUGAACAAAUCAGUCUCGUUUGCUGCUUGGGGCUAGAGAAUUUUGAGAGAGCUGGUUUUACAAAGCUUCCCCCAGAAAAUGCAGUCCACGUGACAAACUCCAGCCCUGAGUGAUUCAUUCCUCAGGGGCUUACCACACUAGAAGGGUUCCUGAUGCUUUCCAGGGUGUACCACAAGCCUUACUUUCAGAGAUUCGUUAGAUCAUAGCCACUCUAGUCGCACACACAAUAUUGCUUUUCUUCAACAUCAAGGUAAUGCAGUCUUAUACUACACACUGUGAGGGAUUCUUAGUAUUAAGAAACUGUCCCAGGGGCAGGAGAGAUAGCUCAGAGGUAAAGAGCACUGGCUGCUCUUCCAGAGGACCUGAGUUCAAUUCCCAGCAACCACAUGGUGGUUCACAACCAUCUACAGUGAGAUCUGGUGUCCUCUUCUGGCAUGCAGGCAGAACACUGACUGUAUACAUAAUAAAUAAAUAUUUAAAAAAAGGAAAGAAACUGUCCCCUUGUUUUACUGGAUUAUCAUUAAUUUUUUUGCUUUGCCUGAGUCCUAUACCCUAACUUUGUGUAAGUCACUAUAAUAUAUACAGACACCUAUGCAUACAACCUGUUCAUUGCUGUCAACAUGUACAGUGUGCCUACUGUUGACUCAGUAGUCCCCGUUCUAGGAAUCGUCUGCAGAAAUACUAAGGGUGUACAAAGUAAUGGUAGAGGAGGGUAUCUACUGGGCAUGUAGCAGUGCUCUUCUUACCUCUAAAAAUGUUCACACUGUACUAUUGACAAGCAUCUCUCAACAGAGUAUAUUCCUAAAUGAAAUGGAACCUUGAAUUGUUAACCUUGAUUCUGAAGAUUCUUCCAAUCUCAACUUCUAUCUCUACUAUCUCCUGGACCCAGAACAGAAACUUGGGGAAGAGGUCAGCAUAUUGUCAGUAUUCGAAAACUUCCAUGAGCAUAGUAUAGGAGGCGUCCAAUAUACUUACUCACAGACUGUAGACCAGGACACAGAGUUGAGUCUAGGACACAUCAAUGUCAAGAGCAGCCAACACAGUCGUGAGGAGCCAACAUGUCCAUGCAGAAGCCAC
ensembl:lncRNA